rnacentral:rRNA from 1 species
GGCGAGUGAGCGGCAACAGCUCAAAUUUGAAAGCCCGCGGGCGUUGUAAUUUGCAGGCGGAUGUUUUGGGGCGGGCGCUGUCUACGUUCCUUGGAACAGGACGCCGCAGAGGGUGAGAGCCCCGUGCGAUGGCGCCUCUAACCGCGUAAAACUCCGCCGACGAGUCGAGUUGUUUGGGAAUGCAGCUCCAAGUGGGUGGUAAAUUCCAUCUAAAGCUAAAUACUGGCGAGAGACCGAUAGCGAACAAGUACAGUGAUGGAAAGAUGAAAAGCACUUUGAAAAGAGAGUGAAACAGCACGUGAAAUUGUUGAAAGGGAAGGGUAUGCGAUUAGCGGCCAGCAGGAGGUGCCUUCUCGUGAAAAGGCCGUGCACCGUCUUCGGACACCGUGCGCGGAGAUGGCGAGGGGGCGCCUGAGGUCUGCGACUCCAGGGUGCUGGGGUAAUGAUUGG